rnacentral:rRNA from 1 species
UACGAAGGGUGCAAGCGUUAAUCGGAAUUACUGGGCGUAAAGGGAGCGUAGGCGGCUUUUUAAGUCGGAUGUGAAAUCCCCGGGCUUAACCUGGGAAUGGCAUCCGAUACUGGGGAGCUAGAGUUUGGGAGAGGGUGAUGGAAUUCCCGGUGUAGCGGUGAAAUGCGUAGAGAUCGGGAGGAACAUCAGUGGCGAAGGCGGUCACCUGGCCUAAAACUGACGCUGAAGCUCGAAAGCGUGGGGAGCAAACAGGG